UAAUAUUUCCUUUUUAAGUUUGUGUUUGUAUGUACGUAUUUCAGAUCAACCAACAGGCUGCUGUGUUGUUUGUGGUAGUCAGAGUUAAGCCUUCUCUCUCAGCUACUGAUUUUUGUUUUCCCACAGCUUUUGACAUUUUGGGAACCGUGACAGUCUUAUGACUGCUCUCUUCUGAAUCAUGCUGACUCUGCUAAGACAAAAUAAUAACACUAGCAUGUUUAUCCAUGAGUGAGCUAUUCAUUAGAGACUAUUAACAAAGAUGAUAGAGUCAGCAAAAGGAGCAUCCAAAUAGUGGUAGUUUUCUUCUCCCUUCUCUACUUCCCUGGGAGAGAGAAAGUUUUAAACAGUCAAAGGUAAGUGUUGAUGCAAGGAUUUAAAAUCCUGACUAAAUGUAAAGGCAUGGGUUUGAGCAUUUUGUUGUUGGUUUUAGUUACUUUCAGGUUUUGGUUGGGUUUUUUCAGUUCUCUCUUCUCUGCACUCUGGGCAUGCCACUGGCUAGGAACUAGGUGAUAAUCUUCAUCAGUAUGUAGUAGGAGUUUCUAGCCAAGAGAAAAGCUGUACCAAACCCUCCCAGGGGAAAGGCAAAAGAGCGGGAGGUUAAAUGCUGCUGUUUAGUCAUAUGAACUGCUGCUUUAAGGAGGUGAUACUACUUUGGUCUUUUCUGUGACCUCAGGUUUCUGGUAUGUGACAACCUUACCCCUUGAAUGUAUUGAGAAAUUUGUAAUUCAUAGGUGCAAGAUGCAUGUAUGUUUAUAAAUCACUUGGUUAGAGCAAAGACUGCCAAAGUGUCAGGUUUGUAUCAGUCCAGUUCCUGCCUAAAGUCCUACAUUCACAAAACCCUGUGGCUUAACUGUGGUAUUUAGGUCAGAUCCACAGGUUGGUAAAGCAGUCUCGGGUUAACUAAUCCUCCUCCUUAUUGUCUAAAUGGAGAGGUGGUGAAUCAUUUGACCGGCUGCGAUCCUUACCUGGGCAAAAGUGCUUUGGAAGUGCUUUGUAACUAGUCCUUAAAACCAGCACGUGCUGCCUCUGUACCUGCCCCUUUUCCUCUCCCCAGAGCCCCACUUACAGUUUUGAACUGAACAUGUGAUUUUUUCUUUUGUAAUCCUGCCUUUGAAAUGCUCUCGAGCGUGAGGGGAAAAGCAGAGGCUGCCUAAAACUUUCAAAAUUCAUGGUUGGUGGGAGUCUGCCGUUUCUGUACAGCCUGUGCUAUUCCCUCCCCACAGGUUCUACCGACAGUGUAUUUUGAUCAAAUACUGAAGUGAUCAGUUAUCAAAUACUGAAGACCAAAAAGACAAAUGCAAAAUGCAAAAAUUAACUUUGCCUCGCUUUAUCAUGUAGGAAACAGGUGUCUCUAAAUGCAGAUAACAUGUACCAGCUUCUUUAAUCCCCCCAAAUCAGUUGCACAAGACAGUUACAUCAGAGCAAUCCGAGAACAUCAUGUAACAUUGUAGGUAUGUAUAUUUUUCAACACAGCUGUAAGAAAUGAUACUAGACAGUGAGACCAGUUCAGCACUCUUCCCUGUUUGACAGCUUUUGUUUGUUUGUUUGUUUGUCAGCAUAGUCUAAAAUAAUCACCGAGAGCAGCUGCUGGAUUUGAAGAUCCCAUGAACUUUCUUAGAACGUGCAGCAUGGGUGAUGUGCAUCGAUUUACCUCACCUUUGUGCUGGAAUCCCUUAUCAAUCUAUUCUGAAUCAGAGCAAAUCUUACCUCGGUAAACUGUGCUGUGCUUCACCAUUUGUAACAUACUGCGAUUACAAAACCAUUUUCAAAUUUAUGUUUUCCAAAGGAAAAAAAAGAGUUGAAUUUGUAUUGUCUUAAAAAUAAGACCAAAGAAAGAAUAGUAAGGUUCAUUUGAUACCUGAAAAAUGAAAUAUUAUUUCCAAAAGAAAAAGUGAUUUCAAUGUAUUAUUUGAAGUUGGCAAAAUAUGGCUCUUCAAAUACUCUUGGAAGGAAUAAAAUUGUAUUUAAAUGUCCCUGUGACAUUUACUUGAAUUUAGCCUACAGCAUAUCUGCUGAUUAAUAAUCAAUGGUAGACUAAGAUGCCGUUCGCUGAAAGCGCGUCUGUCUGCAGUUGGCCUUUGUGGAUACGUAAGGUAGGAGGUGGUGCCUUAAGCGAGGUUGGUCGUGUCUAUGUACAGUGGAUGUCUUUCUUAAAACCACACAGAGAAUUUUUAAGACAACCUUUUGUGG